rnacentral:rRNA from 1 species
UGAGUACGAGAUGCUACGGCAUCGAAGCAGUCUAUGUCAUACUUCCAAGAAAAGCUUGCAAUGUCAUAAACAAAUAAUGCCUGUACCAUAACCGACACAGGUGGGUAGGUAGAGUAUACUAAGGGGCGCGAGAUAACUCUCCCUAAGGAACUCGGCAAAAUGACUCCGUAACUUCGGGAGAAGGAGUGCCUUAUUUUUAUAAGGUUGCAAUAACAAGAUCCAAGCAACUGUUUACCAAAAACACAGGUCUCCGCUAAGUCGUAAGACGAUGUAUGGGGGCUGACGCCUGCCCAGUGCCAGAAGGUUAAAGAAGUUGGUUAGCAUUAGCGAAGCUGAUAACUGAAGCCCUGGUGAACGGCGGCCGUAACUAUAACGGUCCUAAGGUAGCGAAAUUCCUUGUCGGGUAAGUUCCGACCCGCACGAAAGGCGUAAUGAUUUGGAUACUGUCUCGGAGAGGGGCUCGGUGAAAUAGACUUGUCUGUGAAGAUGCGGACUACCUGCACCUGGACAGAAAGACCCUAUGAAGCUUUACUGUAACUUGAGAUUGAAAUUGGACUUUAUCUGCGCAGUAUAGGUGGGAGACGUUGAAAAUAUUCCUGCGGGAAUAUUGGAGUCAUCAGUGAGAUACCACUCUUAUAAUGUUAGAUUUCUAACUUUGUAUCAUUAUCUGGUCAAAGAACAGUUUCAGGCGGGCAGUUUGACUGGGGCGGUCGCCUCCCAAACGGUAACGGAGGCGCACAAAGGUUUCCUCUGAACGUGUAGAAAUCGUAUCUAGAGUGUAAAGGCAUAAGGAAGCUUGGCUGUGAGACCUACAAGUCGAGCAGGGACGAAAGUCGGUCUUAGUGAUCUGACGGUGCUGAGUGGAAAGGCCGCCACUCAACGGAUAAAAGUUACUCUAGGAUAACAGGCUGAUCUCCCCCAAGAGUUCACAUCGACGGGGAGGUUUGGCUCCUCGAUGUCGGCUCAUCGCAUCCUGGGGCGGUAGUACGUCCCAAGGGUUGGGCUGUUCGCCCAUGAAAGCGGUACGCGAGCUGGGUUCAGAACGUCGUGAGACAGUUCGGUCCAUAUCCGGUGUAGGCGUUAGAAUAUUGAGAGGAGCCUUCUUUAGUACGAGAGGACCGAGAAGGACAUACCUCUGGUGUACCAGUUAUCGUGCCAACGGUAAACGCUGGGUAGCCAUGUAUGGAGAGGAUAACCGCUGAAAGCAUCUAAGUGGGAAGCCCACCUCAAGAUAAGUAUUC